rnacentral:lncRNA from 1 species
GAAGGAAGCAUGGAGAAUACCAAGACCAUUCCAGAUCAAGAGCCUGGCAUCCAAACUUCCCUCUUCAUUACACCUGUCCACUUCCGGCUAGUUCUGUUCUACUUUGUCGCUGUGCAGUCUUACUUCCAAGGAAGCGGAACUGGAACGAUACAGCCAAUGUAUUGUGAAGAGCACAGAGAGCGAUCGGACAUGCCACUUGGAUUAGUGCCGCCUACGGAAAGAGUUCCUGGGGUCUCCAACCUCCAGGCCUCGACAAAUGCAAGCCCAACAUUGCAGCAUUCGUUUCCCAUCUGCCAGGAUUGUUUUCAAUGAGUGACUGUUAUGAAACAUUUAUUUAUUUUUUAUUCAUUAAGUUCGCUGGUAUCCUUUAGGUAUGCAAUAUGAUGACAUUCAUCAUUGGGAAUUUGUACCUGUACAUAAUAUAUCUUGGUUCCUAUGUUUUCUCCAUUCCCCUGCCCGCCCUCCAACCCCUCCGACUCUCCCUAGGAAACAUUUAAUUUUUAAGCAUUUUGAAACAUUUGGUAUUAAUUCAAAUGAAAACAAAGGUCCCAAUAAAUCAGCUCUGUGAAUGUUUACAGUUACAUAACCAUGGAGCCAUACAUGUUUGCCAC